UUUGAAACGGGUUGUAGCUGUCCUUCGUAAGGAGGUACGUGCACGCCUUGCUCAUCCACUCUCAAACCCCUGUGCACUUUUUGUAGGCUUGGUGGGAUAGGCUGACUUCGGUCGGCUUUGAAUGCCUCGCCUAUGUAUUAAAACAAACGCUUCAGUUUAGAAUGUAACCUUGCAUAAUAAGCAAAUAAAUACAACUUUCAGCAACGGAUCUCUUGGCUCUCGCAUCGAUGAAGAACGCAGCGAAAUGCGAUAAGUAAUGUGAAUUGCAGAAUUCAGUGAAUCAUCGAAUCUUUGAACGCACCUUGCGCUCCUUGGUAUUCCGAGGAGCAUGCCUGUUUGAGUGUCAUGGUAUCAUCAACCUUCAACACUUUUGUGUCUGUAGGCUUGGACUUGGAGGUCGUGUCGGCGUUCGCGUCGGCUCCUCUGAAAUGCAUUAGCGUGAAUCUUACGAAUCGCCCUCGGUGUGAUAAUUUCUACGCCGUAGACGUGCAGUAUAUAGUGUUCGUGCUUACAACCGUCUGCAAAGACAACAUCAUUGACAAUCUGACCUCAAAUCAGGUAGGACUACCCGCUGAACUUAAGCAUAUCAAUAAGCGGAGGAAAAGAAACUAACAAGGAUUCCCCUAGUAACUGCGAGUGAAGCGGGAAAAGCUCAAAUUUAAAAUCUGGCGGUCUUCGAUCGUCCGAGUUGUAGUCUGGAGAAGCGUCUUCCGCGCUGGACCGUGUACAAGUCUCUUGGAACAGAGCGUCGUAGAGGGUGAGAAUCCCGUCUUUGACACGGACUACCAGUGCUUUGUGAUGCGCUCUCAAAGAGUCGAGUUGUUUGGGAAUGCAGCUCAAAA
rnacentral:rRNA from 1 species